rnacentral:lncRNA from 1 species
GUUUUAUUUUUUUUGUAAAAAACAUUCAGUGCGCUAUACUAACACACACAGACUCAAUCAUCUACACACACGCACACUUCACACAUCAUUGGAGUUCUCAGACUCUGCUGGUGAUCCUUCUAAAUGUUUUAAAACAGUAAAUGCACUGAAGCGUGGAAGUUCCUCUCCUUCCCCGCCUGAGCAAGUUCUGUCAGACUCUGGCAUCACUACUGAGAAAAAUAUGAUAAGUGAUGCUUUUAAUCAACAUUUUUAUCUCUGCAGGUUUUUUAUUUGAAAGAAAUGGUGGUUUAAUUAACCCUGUUCAAUCAGUCGACGCCUCUUCCCUCUCCCAGCCUCCAGUUGGUCCAUUGGAAGAUCACUCAAUUUAUAGCAAAUCUUGAUCAACUUUCUACUUGUGAUGCGCUAGAUGCCUUCCUUAAGAUGUAACAACAACCAAAAAAAUCCACUGGGGCUGAUUUGCUUGAUCCUUUCUUGAUGCAGAUUUCUGCUCCCGAUUGCGGAGUCAAUAACCAGGUUUCCAUCCAACCUUUUCAUAUGAGUAAAGUGCAUGUCGGAUUCAAAAUGUCAUGACAGGCCUGAUGGAAACAGAAGAUUUUCCGGUAAACUUUCCAAAUGUCGACAAAACUAAACACGCUAGACAAGGUGGGAUCUUUUUAUGUCGGUAAAAUGAAUUAUUCGAGAAACCCUUUUAUGCGCAAAUAUGUAUAUUAACCAUCGUAUCGAAGUAAAGUUGGAGUCACGCGAGGUUGUGUGAUCCUCCAACUACUGCUCGUCAGGAAAGCAUGCAGUUUACUAUGCUACAGUUUAAGAAAAAAUAUAAGUUAUGAACUUCACAGGACGGUGAAAGUGCAAGGGGAUGCUUGAUUCUUCUUCCCAAUAAAUAUCAAGGGGCUUAUUCUGUUGACAUUAUCAUCGAUGCUUGGCUGCCGUUUGACAAAUAAAAACAAACAAUCUCAUCAUGUAGGCUAUACAUGCGCUCUAGCCAACUGCACAGAUACUAUACUGUAUCUGCGUCCUCUGUGCUGUUGGCUAGAGCGCACCUGUCAAUACCAGUCCGCUCACUCGCUAUAUAUCGCACACAUUUUUGUGAGAAAACCAUCAGUAGAGUUGAAAAUGUAAUGGAAACCCAUUUACAUGUAAUGUUUUAUUUGGUACAUGGGAAUUUAACCGCAUAAGGUACAUUAUUUUUAUGUGCACUACGUCAUCACGCACAGCUUUUUAUCAACAAUUACAUUUGAUGGAAACACACAUCUGGUGGGAAAAUGCAGAUUUUAGAAUAUUCACAUGAAAAUGUGUCCCCAAUUGGACAGAAACCUAGCUAUUGACACAUUCUUCAUCUGACGAUUAUCUCGGGUGCUAUCCCCAGGGUUUUGGAAGGAGGCCCAUGUGCUCCCUCUACACAAAGAUGGAGCCACGGGGAACUGCAGACAACAUUGUUAAAAAACACAACCCUGGUGCCUGAGCCAAGUAGCUGUGCCUUGUAAACAAAGUCUCCCGCCUGACCUGUGCACCUCAGUGGGAUGACAAACAACAACAUUCACCCCGCUCCCAACCCCCCGGAUCCACUACAGAAAAUUGCAGUGAUGACUCAAACACCCAACGGCAAUGAAAGAUUGGCUGGCAAAAAGCCUCCAGCUGUAAGAUGAGGGGUGCACCCAACCAUGUCAUAUAGAUAUAUAGUGAGGCUGGUUGGAAAGUGUACCACUCCAAGACCUGGUGGGACAUUUUUAAACCUGUUUGAAAACAAGUGAAGGUCACAAGGCCAGAGCGAUAUACAGCUGAUGAUAGCAGCAAGCUUUGUCAAGGCUGAGGAAGAUUUAUUUGUAUAUUUUGAUGGGACUCUGGCUGUAUCCCUACAUAAACAACCCAGGCAGAUAAUGACACAAAUCUUAGCAAUACAUCCUGGUACAUACAACAUACCUGCAAUAAGAUGUUUUUCUGGUUAUCUGUUCACAUGUCUGGCCAAACUAAUGUGGCAUACCUUAAUGCUCCCCUGCCACACAGCCCGGUGCUAUGGAAAACGGCACUGACAGUGACAAAACAUGCUGUUGUAAUGAACAAUAAAUACGUGAAUAAUAAUAACAGGUUA